rnacentral:rRNA from 1 species
GACGAACGCUGGCGGCGUGCUUAACACAUGCAAGUCGAACGGUGAAGGGACCGGUUUUUGCUGGUUCUGGAUGAGUGGCGAACGGGUGAGUAACACGUGAGUAACCUGCCCCCUUCUUCUGGAUAACCGCAUGAAAGUGUGGCUAAUACGGGAUAUUCUGCGCCUGCUGCAUGGUGGGUGUGGGAAAGAUAUUGUUUCGGUGGGGGAUGGGCUCGCGGCCUAUCAGCUUGUUGGUGGGGUGAUGGCCUACCAAGGCGGUGACGGGUAGCCGGCCUGAGAGGGUGGACGGUCACACUGGGACUGAGACACGGCCCAGACUCCUACGGGAGGCAGCAGUGGGGAAUAUUGCACAAUGGGCGCAAGCCUGAUGCAGCGACGCCGCGUGAGGGAUGGAGGCCUUCGGGUUGUAAACCUCUUUCGCCAGUGAAGCAGGCCUGUCCCUUUUGUGGGUGGGUUGACGGUAGCUGGAAAAGAAGCGCCGGCUAACUACGUG